GCCAGGGUGAUUGCAGGAAUUCAAAUAAAAAUUGUAAUUGAAUUGUAAAAUAUUAAUUAGUAAAAAAUUAUAUAACAAGAUACGUGUGGAAGAGAAUAAAAUGUUUAAAAACCAGUAUUACAACAAAAUGUGCUGACGAAAGCAAAAUGUUUAGAACACGCGUACAAAAUAAGAAGAAGCGCUAAAAAGUUAAGAAAGAAAAUAUUUCUCCCUAUAACUCCGAUUGCUCAAAUUCAUCUAAUUAAUAGUAAACUAAAAAUUAGAAUUAGGUAAUGGGGUCAAGGGAACCGGGACACAAGUUACAGAAAAAAUGCAUAAAAUGCAGUAUCCUCUUAACGUGGAUCGUGGACGUCUGGACGCUACGUAGCUCCGCCGCUGGAUAGGGACUCAUAGUGCCAGUCCCAAGCUUGGAACAAGGAGGAGAGUUGGCCGUAUGCAAUAGUUGAGAACGUGUGAUAUCAUUUGUUUAACAUAACUAUUAAAAUUUAAUUUUUUAAUUGAAUAAUAUUUUCGCCAACGAACUGAAUUUUUAAGACAGACACGGAUGCUGUCGUUUUAUUUUAAUCAAACAUUAAUAUUUAC